CCCUUCCCGCGUUUUACGCUUGUGUGUCCAAGACUUCCAUUCCAUACAGUCCAUUUACUUCCUGUUUUACAGAGUGCAGGAGAUAGAUGUUCUGACACACUAAAACAGGAGGUUUUACAGAAUGCAGGAGAUGGAUGGUCUGGUGCACUGUAAAACAGGAGAUAGAUGUUCUGACACACUAAAACAGGAGGUUUUACAGAGUGCAGGAGAUGGAUGUUCUGAUGCAUUGUAAAACAGGAGAUAGAUGUUCUGACAC